rnacentral:rRNA from 1 species
UACGUAGGGUGCGAGCGUUAAUCGGAAUUACUGGGCGUAAAGCGUGCGCAGGCGGUGAUGUAAGACCGAUGUGAAAUCCCCGGGCUUAACCUGGGAACUGCAUUGGUGACUGCAUUGCUGGAGUAUGGCAGAGGGGGGUGGAAUUCCACGUGUAGCAGUGAAAUGCGUAGAGAUGUGGAGGAACACCGAUGGCGAAGGCAGCCCCCUGGGCCAAUACUGACGCCUCAUGCACGAAAGCGUGGGGAGCAAACAGGAUUAGAU